UACGAAGGGGGCUAGCGUUGCUCGGAAUGACUGGGCGUAAAGGGCGCGUAGGCGGCUUGCACAGUCAGGCGUGAAAUUCCUGGGCUCAACCUGGGGACUGCGCUUGAGACGUGUGGCGUUGAGUGGGGAAGAGGGUCGUGGAAUUCCCAGUGUAGAGGUGAAAUUCGUAGAUAUUGGGAAGAACACCGGUGGCGAAGGCGGCGACCUGGUCCUUGACUGACGCUGGAGGCGCGAAGCGUGGGAGCAACAG
rnacentral:rRNA from 1 species